rnacentral:lncRNA from 1 species
AAACCAGCCCUACUUACCUUUCAGUGAUGUUAGGAGAGCAAAUGAGAAGAUACACGUGAACAUGUGCUGUUGACUUCAAAAUGCUGCCCAGAAUGCAACACAGAAACAAUUGUCGCUGCCUUGGACCUGGGCAGAAGAAGUCCUGGGAAUGGCUCUCGAAGCCCCUUGUCAGCUGGGUCAGUUGGAAACCCUGGCUUCACUCCUGCUCUGAGCUGGGGGCUCACAAAUAAAGAAAUCAAUCAGCAAGCAAUUCCAGGCUCCUGUGUGCCCAAGCCUGUGCCAGACCCUGAGAACAGACUGAGGAAAGUGGGCAGAAGUUGCAGGGAGGUGGAAUUGUCUCCACAGAAGAGAAAAUUUCCUGAUAAAAGGACCUGGCCAGGCAAGUCCCUCCAGAAGUCUGAUGGGUCCUCACUGCUGGAGGUGAGCCAGCCAGCAGAGGAGUCAGGCAGCCUCACAUGGAGCUACCUCAGAGCUGUGUUCACCCACGUGCAGAACCUGGACCUCUGGUGGAAUGCCAGAUGAUUUAGAUGGUGCAUUGACAAGACAUUAAAUCACAGUGAACCCCAUAGUGAGAAAAUUAUUUCCUUUUCAAAACUCUUUCUUUCUCUUCUUUUUUCCGUUGGUCCUCAGGUUCAAAGAACUGAUUAAUCAUAAUCCUUGGUUCAUGAUACAUCUCAUCAAUGGUCCUUGAAUGGACCACUUUAUUAUGUGUGUGUGUGUGUGUGUAUAUUUUUUUAUUCAUUUUUUUAAAUUACAUUUUAAAAAUAUGAGGUCCCCAUUCACCCCCACCGCCCCCACCCCACCACUCCCCCCACAGUACCACUCUCCCCCAUCAUCAUGACAUAUCCAUUGCAUUUGGUGAGUACAUCUCUGGGCAUCGCUGCACCCUAUGGCCAAUGGUUCACACCAUAGCCCACACUCUCCCACAUUCCAUCCAGUGGGCCAUGGGAGGACAUACAAUGUCCAGUAAUUGUCCCUGCAGCACCACCCAGAACAACUCCAAGUCCCGAAAAUGCCUCCACAUCUCAUCUCCUCCUCCCAUUCCCCGUACCAAUCAGCCAUCAUGGCCACUUUUUCCACACCAAUGCACAUUUUCUCGAUUAUUAACC